UACGUAGGGUGCAAGCGUUUAAUCGGAAUUACUGGGCGUAAAGCGUGCGCAGGCGGUUUUGUAAGUCUGUCGUGAAAUCCCCGGGCUCAACCUGGGAAUUGCAUUCGAUACUGGAUAGCUAGAGUUCGGCAGAGGGAAGUGGAAUUUCGGGUGUAGCGGUGAAAUGCGUAGAUAUCCGAAGGAACAUCAGUGGCGAAAGCGACUUCCUGGACCAGAACUGACGAUCAGGCACGAAAGCGUGGGGAGCAAACAGG
rnacentral:rRNA from 1 species